CUACGUGCCAGCAGCCGCGGUAAUACGGAAGGUCCAGGCGUUAUCCGGAUUUAUUGGGUUUAAAGGGUGCGUAGGCCGUUUGAUAAGCGUGCUGUGAAAUAUAGUGGCUCAACCUCUAUCGUGCAGCGCGAACUGUCGAACUUGAGUGCGUAGUAGGUAGGCGGAAUUCGUGGUGUAGCGGUGAAAUGCUUAGAUAUCACGAAGAACUCCGAUUGCGAAGGCAGCUUACCGUAACGUUACUGACGCUUAAGCACGAAGGUGCGGGUAUCGAACAGGAUUAGAUACCCUGGUAGUCCGCACAGUAAACGAUGGAUGCUCGCUGUUGGCCUUUAUGGUCAGUGGCUUAGCGAAAGCGUUAAGCAUCCCACCUGGGGAGUACGCCGGCAACGGUGAAACUCAAAGGAAUUGACGGGGGCCCGCACAAGCGGAGGAACAUGUGGUUUAAUUCGAUGAUACGCGAGGAACCUUACCCGGGCUUGAACUGCAGCUGAACGAUUCAGAGA
rnacentral:rRNA from 1 species